CUCUCCUUAUGAUUAAACCAAUUAGGGAACGUCCUCUAAUUAAUUACUAAUUAACAAAUUGCCAAGGAACGUCCUUGGGCCUUAGGCAUCAAAACAAUUGUCAAUUGCAUUAAGAAAUAGAGAGAUCCAAUCCUAGCUACCCAAACGUAUGGAGAUAACGCUAGAUCAUGCAAUUUCCUUGGGUUUUAUCCCAAGUGUUCUCAUGUAAGAAUAACUCAAGCAAUUACGGACUUAAAUUAUUCAAACUAACAAAUAAUUAUUUUGCAAUAAAAA
rnacentral:lncRNA from 1 species